GUGUGUAUUAUGCAACUAAAAUUUAUAAAGAAGAAAGCCUUAUAUACCAUUAAAUAUUUUAUAUAGCAUAAUAAAAAUAACUGGUAAGAAUAACAAAAUCCAUUUCUUUCUUUUUCAUUCAUUCAAAUAUUGACUGGUCCCAACCAGGCCCCGCACAGACAAACAGGUAAAGAGAACAGACACCUUCCCUCCUUUCCCAGGCCCAGGACACUACUCUUGGCUCAAGCGCCCAGCCCCAAGAUUUGGGGCCAAGCGGGUCAAGGGCGAGGACCGGGUGUGGGGGGAAGUUGGCUCUGAUCUGUCACCUGCAGCUUCUUUCCACAAAACCUCUACUCCCAGGCCCAAGUCCUCCGGUCACAGCCUAGCCAGACCUCCGCGCCCGCGCCGGCCACACCUGGAAAAGAAGGAAUUGCGGGAAAAGGGGGUUGGCCUAUGGAGGGGGUGGUACAACCGGAAACAGGGCUGGGCGGCGGGGGAAGGGAGCAGAGGAUGGCUGAAGGAUGGCCUGGGAAGGCGCUUCCCUAGGACGCCUGCACACGCCCAGAGGCUGGGCGAGCGCUUGGGCGGUGGGGCUGUGGGCUAUGGGGAGCGGAAUCGACCACGAGGGAGGAGGGGGAGGCCAGACUCCGGCGCGCCGAGCGGGUCCUAUGCGCCCCCUGCCGAGCGCCGGCCUCCGCUGCACGCGCGGCCGCCGCCCCUGCGUGCGGGGACCCGGACCCCGCGGGCGGCUGGCACACCCCGGGAACCUCGCCGCCCGCUCAGGCCUCUCUCCGCGUGUCUGCAGUCUCUGCGCUCCUUCCUGGAAAAAGAAGCCCGAGAUGCCCUGAAAUAACCUGCACGCCGCUCCAGCUUUGCACGCACCCAGUCAAUAAUUAAUUGGCCACCUAGCAUUCUUGGAGACGCCAGUGAAGACCCAGGGCUCUCUUGGGCUUAUGAAGAUAUCCAGCAGUUCACAACCCUGCUUGUGCCCUCAAGGAGUUUAGCAGCCAGAUGAAUCACCUCGGAGCUCACCACGGGCACAGGAGAAAAAAACAGUAGAGGAAAUGCCAUCCUCAGUGUCAACUUGAGCAAAAUACCAACCCUGAUGACAUUUGCCUCCAUCUGGAAAGGUCUACCCAGGGAUGGCCCUGUAUAGAGCAUUCAUUGUACACAGUUGCCUUUGCAGGCUGCACUGUCCUUGCACGUUUCCCAGAGCCGACAAAGGAAGGCAGGGCAUAUUAAUGAGUUGCUAGCAGGGUCUGCAGUGUGCCAGCAGCUUUACAGGUGUCAUGUCAUCCCCACAACCACCUGGCGAGGAGUAUCAUUGUUCCUGCUUGCACUGGGGAGACUGCAACUCUGUGGGUGGCUGAGACCUGAGGCUCAGGGGCUGGAGCUGAGGUAGAGUACAUGUUUGUGAGCGUGUGUGUGUGUGUGUGUGUGUGUGUGUGUGUGUGUAGGGUGCACUAAAGAAGGGUGCAGCUCAGGAAGGAAGGACCUUGGGUGUUGGCCCAGAAAUAGGACUUUCUCCUGGAAGCUGCAGGAGCUACUGAAGGGCAGUAGUGAGAGGCACCUAAUUAAAUCUGCAGGAAAGCUCUCUGGCAGCCACGUGAAGGCUGGUAGGGGUGGAGGAGGAGGGAUUAAGAGAAUGAGACUAAAAGAGAAGGCUCUGGAAGAGUAAAUCUGUUGUCUCCACCCCUCCACCCAUCCCCCCACCACACACUGAAAAAUGGUCUCUAGAUUCAGAGAAAUUAUUUGACAAGCCCAAUUUAAAAUUUUACACCCAAGGCAGUGGGUGUUAUUAUUAAUUUGGAAAAUCAAAAUUGGUUAAACUGAGGCCAAUGAGUGAGAGAAGUUGGUGCUGUGGGCAAUAGCCCUGGGAGGUGGCUGCUAUGAGGACCAGCUUGACAAGAUUUGGCAUCAUGACUAAGGGAAGGAUCUGGGGUUUGUUUUGUUCUGUGUUUUGUCUUUUUCGGCCCGCACCCAUGCUAUCUGGAGGUUCCCAAGCUAGGGGUCGAAUUGGAGCUGUUGCCGCCAGCCUACACCACACAGCUCACGGCAACCCCAGAUCCUUAACCCACUGAGCUAAUCCAGGGAUUGAACCUGCAACCUCAUGGUUCCUUGUUGGAUUUGUUUCGGCUGCGCCACAAUGGGAACUCCAGGCCCUGGGGUUUGGAUUUAGGCAGGCUUGAGUGUGAAUUCUGGCUCAGCCAUUGAAAAUGUCAUCUAAUCUCUCUGAUCCUGUUUACCUCUUCACCUCGAAUGUAAAAUAAAUUUCAUCACCCCUGUCUUUG
rnacentral:lncRNA from 9 species